rnacentral:rRNA from 1 species
AUGAACGCUGGCGGCGUGCCUAAUACAUGCAAGUCGCGCGAACAGACGAGGAGCUUGCUCCUCUGACGUUAGCGGCGGACGGGUGAGUAACACUUGGAUAACCUACCUAUAAGACUGGGAUAACUUCGGGAAACCGGACCUAAUACCGGAUAAUAUAUUUAACCGCAUGGUUCAAUAGUUAAAGACGGUUUUGCUUUCACUUAUAGAUGGAUCCUCGCCGCAUUAGCUAGUUGGUAAGGUAACGGCUUACCAAGGCGACGAUGCGUAGCCGACCUGAGAGGGGGAUCGGCCACACGGGAAGGGAGAAACGGACAAGAGUACUACGGGAGGCAGCAGUAGGGAAUCGUCCGCAAUGGGCGAAAGCAUGACGGAGCAAAGCCGCGGGAGUGAUGAAGGACUUCGGAUCGUAAAACUCUGUUAUUAGGGAAGAACAAAUGUGUAAGUAACUAUGCACGUAUUGACGGUACCUAAUCAGAAAGCAACGGCUAACUACGUG